rnacentral:rRNA from 1 species
UACGUAGGGGGCGAGCGUUGUCCGGAUUCAUUGGGCGUAAAGAGCUCGUAGGCGGUUUGAUAAGUCGGGUGUGAAAUCUCCAGGCUCAACCUGGAGAGGUCACUCGAGACUGUUAUGACUAGAGUCCGGUAGGGGACCACGGAAUUCCUGGUGUAGCGGUGAAAUGCGCAGAUAUCAGGAGGAACACCAGUGGCGAAGGCGGUGGUCUGGGCAUUAACUGACGCUGAGGAGCGAAAGCAUGGGGAGCGAACAGG